UAUUCCCCACUGCUGCCUCCCGUAGGAGUCUGGGCCGUGUCUCAGUCCCAAUGUGGCCGUUCGACCUCUCAGUCCGGCUAUGGAUCGUCGCCUUGGUGGGCCGUUACCCCACCAACAAGCUAAUCCAACGCGGGCCCAUCUUGUACCACCGGAGUUUUUCACACUGCAUGAUGCCAUGCUGUGCGCUUAUGCGGUAUUAGCAGUCAUUUCUAACUGUUAUCCCCCUGUACAAGGCAGGUUGCCCACGCGUUACUCACCCGUCCGCCGCUAAGUCACUAAGGAAUCAUCCCGAAGGAAUCUUCCAGAGUGCUUCGCUCGACUUGCAUGUGUUAAGCACGCCGCCAGCGUUCAUCCUGAGCCAA
rnacentral:rRNA from 1 species